rnacentral:rRNA from 1 species
GUUGAUAGGCCGGAGGUGUACAGCAGUGAUGCCCAGCCGACCGGUACUAAUAGGCCGAGGGCUUAUCUUU